GUGCUCGCUUCGGCAGCACGCACACUAAAACUGGAACGAUACAGAGGAGACUAGCACGGCCCCCGCACGAGGAUGACACGCAAAUUCGUAAAGCCUUCCACAUAUUU
ensembl:snRNA U6 U6 spliceosomal RNA